AAUAAACCCGGGCAGGUGGAGGUCGUUAGCCGUGGUAGGCAAUUCACCUAGGAGAGCAAACUCUAAACAAACCCGGGCAGGUGGAGGUCGUUAGCCGUGGGAGGCAAUUCACCUAGGAGAGCAAACUCUAAACAAACCCGGGCAAGUGGAGGUCGUUAGCCGUGGUAGGCAAUUCACCUAGGAGAGCAAACUCUAAACAAACCCGGGCAGGUGGAGGUCGUUAGCCGUGGGAGGCAAUUCAUCUAGGAGAGCAAACUCUAAACAAACCCGGGCAGGUGGAGGUCGUUAGCCGUGGGAGGUAAUUCACCUAGGAGAGCAAACUCUAAACAAACCCGGGCAGGUGGAGGUCGUUAGCCGUGGGAGGUAAUUCACCUAGGAGAGCAAACUCUAAACAAACCCGGGCAGGUGAGGCUCGUUAGCCGUGGUAGGCAGUUCACCUAGGAGAGGAAACUCUAAACAAACCCGGGCAGGUGGAGGUCGUUAGCCGUGGUAGGCAAUUCACCUAGGAGAGCAAACUCCGAACAACAAACCCGGGCAGGUGGAGCUCGUUAGCGUGAGCAGUUCACCUAGGAGAGCAAACUCCGAGCAAAAAACCCGGGCAGGUGGAGCUCGUUAGCGUGAGCAUUUUACCUAGGAGAGCAAACUCCGAACAAUAAACCCGGCCAGGUGGAGGUCGUCAGCCGUGGUAGGCAGUUCACCUAGGAGAGCAAACUCCGAACAAUAAACCCGGGCAGGUGGAGGUCGUCAGCCGUGGUAGGCAGUUCACCUAGGAGAGCAAACUCCGAACAAUAAACCCGGCCAGGUGGAGGUCGUCAGCCGUGGUAGGCAAUCUGCCUAGGAGAGCAAACUCCGAACAAUAAACCCGGCCAGGUGGAGGUCGUCAGCCGUGGUAGGCAGUUCACCUAGGAGAGCAAACUCCGAACAAUAAACCCGGGCAGGUGGAGGUCGUCAGUCGUGGUAGGCAAUCUGCCUAGGAGAGCAAACUCCGAACAAUAAACCCGGCCAGGUGGAGGUCGUCAGCCGUGGUAGGCAAUCUGCCUAGGAGAGCACACUCCGAACAAUAAACCCGGGCAGGUGGAGGUCGUCAGCCGUGGUAGGCAAUCUGCCUAGGAGAGCAAACUCUAAACAAACCCGGGUUUGUGGUGCUCGUUAUACUGUCGUAGACAAUCCACGCGAUGGGAACACCAAAGAAAAGGAAAAUAAAAAGGAACACCAGAAAAAUGGAAAAUACAGAAACGAAACAUCAAGAAACAAAAAGAUCAUCCACCUUUAGGCCCUAACAUCGCCAAAAUUAUGGAUGGGUCUCUUCUGGGGAGAAAGCGGCUCAUCCAGACCAAAGAACAUCAACCAAAGGAUGAUAUGAAUAAAUGAAAUAAAAAAUAAAAAA